rnacentral:rRNA from 1 species
GAAUGCCUAGGCAUCUAAAGGCGAUGAAGGACGUGGCAAGCUGCGAUAAGCUCCGGGUAGAGGCAAGCACUCCAAGAUCCGGAGAUUUCCGAAUGGGGCAACCCAAUAAUCCCGUAAGGGAGGCUAACCCAGGGAACUGAAACAUCUAAGUACCUGGAGGAAGAGAAAACAAUAGUGAUUCCCUAAGUAGUGGCGAGCGAACGGGGAACAGCCCAAACCGGGGCCUACGGGCUCCGGGGUUGUAGGACCUGCGCAAUUGCGAGCAUCAGAAAUCGAAGCCGCCUGGAAAGCGGCCCCAUAGGAGGUGAAAGGCCUGUAGGUGUAAUGAUGUGAGUGAGGCGGGUAUCCUGAGUAGCGCGAGGCCGGUGAAACCUUGCGUGAAUCUGCCGGCACCAUCCGGUAAGGCUAAAUACAUCUGCAUGACCGAUAGUGAACCAGUACCGU